UACGUAGGGGGCAAGCGUUAUCCGGAAUCAUUGGGCGUAAAGCGCGUGUAGGCGGUUCCGUAAGUCCGCUCUGAAAGCCCAGGGCUCAACCCUGGGAGGCGGGUGGAUACUACGGAACUGGAGUACGGAAGAGGAGAUUGGAAUUCCUGGUGUAGCGGUGAAAUGCGCAGAUAUCAGGAGGAACACCAACAGCGAAGGCAGAUCUCUGGGACGUUACUGACGCUGAGACGCGAAAGCCGUGGGGAGCAAACAGG
rnacentral:rRNA from 1 species